CGGGACCCCGCACAAGCGGUGGAUCAUGUUGUUUAAAUUCGAUGAUACGCAAGAACCUUACCAGGCUUGACAUCCCCUGCAAAGCUAUGGAGACAUAGUGGAGGUUAUCAGGGAGACAGGUGGUGCAUGGUUGUCGUCAGCUCGUGUCGUGAGAUGUUGGGUUAAGUCCCGCAACGAGCGCAACCCUUAUUGCUAGUUACCAUCAUUCAGUUGGGGACUCUAGCGAGACUGCCAGUGAUAAACUGGAGGAAGGUGGGGAUGACGUCAAAUCAUCAUGCCCCUUAUGACCUGGGCUACAAACGUGAUACAAUGGCUGAAACAAAGGGCAGCGAAGCAGUGAUGUGGAGCGAAACCCAAAAAAGCAGUCUCAGUUCGGAUUGAAGUCUGCAACUCGACUUCAUGAAGUCGGAAUCGCUAGUAAUCGCGGAUCAGAACGCCGCGGUGAAUACGUUCUCGGGGUUU
rnacentral:rRNA from 1 species